UACGUAGGUGGCAAGCGUUGUCCGGAUUUACUGGGCGUAAAGAGCGCGCAGGCGGUCGUUCAAGUCGCGUGUGAAAGCCCCCGGCUCAACUGGGGAGGGUCACGCGAUACUGAUCGACUCGAAAGGCAGGAGAGGGUAGUGGAAUUCCCGGUGUAGUGGUGAAAUGCGUAGAUAUCGGGAGGAACACCAGUGGCGAAGGCGACUACCUGGCCUGUUCUUGACGCUGAGGCGCGAAAAGCUAGGGGAGCAAACGGGG
rnacentral:rRNA from 1 species